ACACUUUUUUCCACAGGAAAAAUCACCGAAUCCCCGGUAUAUGGAACCUCACUAAAAACUCCUGCCGCUCACAGCCGGCGUCCAACUCCGGACCGGGCCGCAGCUCAGUUCGGGUUACUGAGAUGGCGGGACAGGGUCGACGCAGAGCAUAUUACAUCCAUUCCGCCGUCCCAGACCCCGGACCGGCGGCCGCCGACACGACCACCGGUUCCCUCGGUCGACGUGCCGGGAGCCCGCCUUAAUGGCGUCGCGCUGCACCUUCGGAGAAACGCGGUCUACCAUCACCCAGCUUCCUAUUACGGGCGAGCACGCAAAGCACGCCCCGCCUGGGUUCCUCCGCGCAUAAAGCGGGUGGAGCCCGAAGCUCUUAAGGGCCGAGUCACGAAUGGAACCUAGGUCCCGAACCUCUGCUCGGCGGCGAUGGAUUUCUGCGUAGUGACCAGAGCUUAAACCAAACCUCUAGCUGUUUCUUCAUAGUCCGUCCGCCGUGCGUAGUAGCACAGAUUUGAAUUUAGUGGUGGCUUCCCCCCGGUGAAGAUCACGGGGCGACCUGAGAGGGCCGAGAUCGCGCGGCGCGCUACCUGCACUCUAGCGCGCCACUAAGAAGAUACGAAAGAGCAAUCGGUUGGCGGUGUAUCGCGUCCAGACCUGGCAGGCUGUUUCUGGUCCAGCGGGGUAUCCCAGAACACCAGCGGCACCGUCUGGGCGGCCUGACGGGCUGCCGUACCAAAACGGCCGACGUUUCCGAGCCUUCGAUUCGCCUCGAAGGCUCCGUCGGCCGGGCGUCCUUGGGGUGAGCUGCGCCGUCUGGUUGUAGUGUUGACCGCGGCAACCUCUUUACCUCAUCCGGGUUCUGACCUCGGUGGGGAUCGGACGCUUGGGCGAAAAGUGCAGGGAAGUCGUUUAGUGGGUAGGGCCCUGAAAACAUCCUUGGGCCCGCGGACUCGCGGUCGCGGACGAGUCCCACAUACACCGUGCGCCACGUAGGCGCGGGGACCUCGUACGAGGAUCGGCCCCCGGCACGAAAAAAUACAAAAAAAGUAUAUUGAAUUAAGCGAAUCCAAACUUUGCUUCAAUUUUGAUAAAAAUGAAAUGCAUUUAAAUUUUACACCUGUUUAAGCAGUUAAUUAAUUAUGCAUUCUUAACGUUAAUUAAUUCUUUAAUUUGUUACUGCUGUGUGUGGUGCUGGAAUCACCAGUAUUGUAGAACAAAAAUGUAAUCAUUAGUGGAUUGCUUCUCUGUGGGAUUGUAACACCUACAUAGCUGUUUUAGCAGAGUCUGAAGAGCUCAUGGCUCACCUGAGCUUACAGGAGGCCUUUUUCUCAAGACUAUAGACACUAUCAAGCUUCAAACUAAACAUAGGCAGGAUGCUUUUACUCAUCUGCAGAGUUGCUUGUAGGUACUUAAUAUUCCUUACUUAUAUAGAUGAGGAUACUAUUACAUUACCAAAAGUAGUACCUAGCAGUAACUAGAGGAGGCUUGAUUUAAUCACAAAUGUGGUGUUAAUCAUAUGCUAACUUGGGAAUUAUUUUAAUUAAACCAAAACAAAUGUUAGUUAUUUUGUACACAAAACUAUGUAUAUUUCUCAAAUGCACCUUUAUUUAUUUAUUUUUUAUCUUAUUAUAGCUUUUAGCCCUAUUUGACUUAAAAUUGUUCUGUAUUUAAGACAGAGAUAUAAUUUUAUGAUGGACAACAAAUUCCUUAUUUUUAAAACUUUUUCUGAACACACAUUUAAAGUGCAAAUAAGCUACUUUUGCCUAUUUACAUUAGGUACCACUUGACCUCCAAUGAAUUACAAUUGUUGUAAAACCUGUCAGUUAUGUUCAUUUCAUAUACCAAUGACUAAUGGACCUUAUAUAAAUAAAUGGUGAAACUCAAUCAAAUCACAUUUGAUAGGUUAGAUUUUUUCCAUUUAACUAUAAAAUCUUAAGUCUGAAAAAAAGUUAUUUUAGCUUAGCUUCACUGUUGCUAUCUAAGUUUUUAACUAUAAAUUUUUUGCACAUGAUAAUUUUUUAUUCCCACUUUUUUUUUAAUAUUAACAUAUUUUGACAUUAUUAUUUUCACAUAUUUUAAAACAAGGUAGGUAUUUUAUGACCAUUGGUGAAUACUGGUUUUUGAGACAAAAAUUAACGUAUGUCUACUUCAAAAUUGAAUUACCUGUUGGGCAUCCUAGUUCCUUAGAACCUCUUCCAAAACCCUUGACUACCUCUCCUUCAAGGAAAAAAGGCAGAACUGAUGACAUUUUCCUCAAUUGAAAAAAUAUUUUCAUGCGAUUCUUUUUUUUACUUAGAAGUAAAUGAAUGAACUAAUUACGAAAAACUGACGCAAUAAACAUUUCAUCACCAGACACAAAAUACAACUAACUGUGUGGCAUUCAUCUAGGUCACAAGUUAAGAAUGAUUUAAGUAAUUUAUAACGAUAAUUUAAAAGUGAUAAAAAUCCAUAGAUUAAUUAUUACAAAUUACAAGCCUUAUCACAGCCAUAAUCUUGAAACUACACACAAAGUAAACAAACGUUUCCUUUAAAAUUUAAACAGGCUUUCAUAGUGUUAACUGUUAAUUUAGAUCAAAAUAUCAUAAUCAAAUAUUAUCAAAA